rnacentral:rRNA from 1 species
GAUGAACGCUGGCGGCGUGCCUAAUACAUGCAAGUCGAGCGAACAGACGAGGAGCUUGCUCCUCUGACGUUAGCGGCGGACGGGUGAGUAACACGUGGAUAACCUACCUAUAAGACUGGGAUAACUUCGGGAAACCGGAGCUAAUACCGGAUAAUAUAUUGAACCGCAUGGUUCAAUAGUGAAAGACGGUUUUGCUGUCACUUAUAGAUGGAUCCGCGCCGCAUUAGCUAGUUGGUAAGGUAGCGGCUUACCAAGGCAACGAUGCGUAGCCGACCUGAGAGGGUGAUCGGCCACACUGGAACUGAGACACGGUCCAGACUCCUACGGGAGGCAGCAGUAGGGAAUCUUCCGCAAUGGGCGAAAGCCUGACGGAGCAACGCCGCGUGAGUGAUGAAGGUCUUCGGAUCGUAAAACUCUGUUAUUAGGGAAGAACAAAUGUGUAAGUAACUAUGCACGUCUUGACGGUACCUAAUCAGAAAGCCACGGCUAACUACGUG